rnacentral:rRNA from 1 species
UACAGAGGUCUCAAGCGUUGUUCGGAUUCAUUGGGCGUAAAGGGUGCGUAGGCGGCGCGGUAAGUCGGAUGUGAAAUCUCGGAGCUUAACUUCGAAACUGCAUUCGAUACUGCCGUGCUUGAGGACUGGAGAGGAGACUGGAAUUUACGGUGUAGCGGUGAAAUGCGUAGAUAUCGUAAGGAAGACCAGUGGCGAAGGCGGGUCUCUGGACAGUUCCUGACGCUGAGGCACGAAGGCCCAGGGGAGCAAACGGG